ensembl:snoRNA
GCAUGGCUGAAUACUGUGUUCUUUUUAUCAGUAAUUUACACAGCCAGACACCAUGCAAAAGUAGUCUUCCCUUUAAAAUGCCUGUGAUGGUAUGCUAAGCUUUUUUUUAUAGCAUAUCAUGAUUAAAAAUGGAUACAAAU